GUCCACGUAGCGUAGUGGUCAACGUUUGUGAUGCUUUUCUUCAGCGUUUAGUAUAUUUAUUUAGUGAUUUUGAUUUGAGGCAGCGAAAGACGUCGGUUAGAAUCCGACCGGGGACA